rnacentral:rRNA from 1 species
CGUAGCCGGCCACGCGAGUCCAUCGGGAAAUCCGCACGCUCAACGUGCGGGCGUCCGGUGGAAACUGCCUGGCUUGGGACCGGAAGACUCGACGGGUACGUUCGGGGUAGGAGUGAAAUCCCGUAAUCCUGAACGGACCACCGAUGGCGAAAGCACGUCGAGAAGACGGAUCCGACGGUGAGGGACGAAAGCUAGGGUCUCGAACCGGAUUAGAUACCCGGGUAGUCCUAGCCGUAAACGAUGUCUGUUAGGUGCGACGCUGACUACGAGUCAGUGUUGUGCCGCAGGGAAGCCGCUAAACAGACCGCUUGGGAAGUACGUCCGCAAGGAUGAAACUUAAAGGAAUUGGCGGGGGAGCACUACAACCGGAGGAGCCUGCGGUUUAAUUGGACUCAACGCCGGACAUCUCACCAGCAUCGACAGCAACAAUGACGGCCAGUGUGAUGAGCUUGCCAGAGCUGCUGAGAGGAGGUGCAUGGCCGCCGUCAGCUCGUACCGUGAGGCGUCCUGUUAAGUCAGGCAACGAGCGAGACCCACACUCCUAAUUGCCAGCAUGACCCCUGGGUCGAUGGGUACAUUAGGAGGACUGCCGUGGCCAACACGGAGGAAGGAAUGGGCAACGGUAGGUCAGUAUGCCCCGAAUGUGCUGGGCUACACGCGGGCUACAAUGGCCGAGACAAUGGGUUCCCACCUCGAAAGAGGACGGUAAUCUCGUAAACUCGGUCGUAGUUCGGAUUGAGGGUUGAAACUCACCCUCAUGAA